rnacentral:rRNA from 1 species
UGUCUUCUAAAUAAAGACUAGUAUGAACGGCAAAACGAAGGUCUAACUGUCUCCUUUGUCUACUCAAUGAAAUUGAUCCUCCAGUACAAAAGCUGUAAUAAAAUAACAAGACGAGAAGACCCUAUGGAGCUUAAAACACACUAGAAAGUGCAACCUUUUUUAACUUCAUGCAUCAAUUCCACACUGUUUUCGGUUGGGGCGACCACGGAGAACACUUAACCUCCGAGAUGACAUGCCAGGAAACAAUCCUAAACAUCAGAAAACUGACAUAAUUGACCCAAUUAACUUUGAUCAACGAACCAAGUUACCCUAGGGAUAACAGCGCAAUCCUCUUUAAGAGCCCAUAUCGACAAGAGGGCUUACGACCUCGAUGUUGGAUCAGGAUAACCUGACAGUGUAACCGCCGUCAAAGGUUUGUUUGUU